rnacentral:misc_RNA from 1 species
GAAAUGCGAUAAGUAAUGCGAAUUGCAGAAUUCAGUGAAUCAUCGAAUCUUUGAACGCACCUUGCGCUCCUUGGUAUUCCUUGGAGCAUGCCUGUUUGAGUAUCAUGAAAUCUUCAAAGUAAAUCUUUUGUUAACUCAAUUGGUUUCUACUUUGGUAUUGGAGGUCUUUGCAGCUUCACACCUGCUCCUCUUUGUUCAUUAGCUGGAUCUCAGUGUUAUGCUUGGUUCCACUCGGCGUGAUAAGUUAUCUAUCGCUGAGGACACUGUAAAAGGUGGCCAAGGUAAAUGCAGAUGAACCGCUUCUAAUAGUCCAUUGACUUGGACAAUACUUUUAUGAUCUGAUCUCAAAUCAGGUAGGACUAACCGCUGAACUUAAGC